GCCACUGGUGCCCAUCAAAUCCAUUAAACCCAAUGGAAUAUAACUUUAAUUUGUUUAAUUUCUGCUAUCUAGUGUGAAUCAUGGCUAGUCAGGAUUGUUUUCAAACUGAGCAUACUGUUACAAUCCUGCUCCAGCCUCUGCCCUUUUUUCCCCUUCUUCCUCUUUUUCCUCCUUUCUCCCUUGGGUCCUGAUCUGUUUCUGUUUUGACCUGUCUCUCUUUGGCUCCCUCUAUAUGUCGUCUCUUCCUCCUGUCUCUCUCCCUGUCUGUCGCCCUCCUGCUCUCCCUGUUUCACCUGCCUGCAUUCUGCUACCUGUUGAUUACUAUGAGUUUCAGCUGCAGUAAUCAGUUCACUCCAUUCACCUGUUCUCCACCUCACCUCCACCUAUUUAAGCUCUGUCCUGUCACUCACUCCCCGCUGGAUCAUUUACCCACAUGCCUUCACGGGCUUUGCUUUUGGACUCUGUUUUCCCUUCCACUGGAUUUCCCUCACUUGGACUCAUCAGUUCUUCUUUUGGAUUCUCGCUAGCCCUGCUCGUCUCCAGCCAGUAGCUCCAGUCUCGUCUCCGUUCGCCCCAGAUUUCCUGAGCCUGCUUCCCUGCCCCUUCUGUUGUCGGUUCCCCCCAUCUUGCAGAAAGUCCAACUCCGAGGCAGAGCCACUCGUUGGUGAACUCAAUGAAGCCAGGAGCUUUGGUUUAUAUAGAACGCUGCAUGAGAAGGAGCAGCUGGACGGCCGUUGACUGGUCAUGUGAGGCUGUGGAGAAGUGAUUUGCAUGACACUUGGCAUGAAAUACAUGGACUGUUUGUCUCCUUAUCUGCUGCUCCUGCUCCUGGUACUUACCACGCCUUCUGCAGAGCACUGUGGCUCUUUGCAUCACCUUGUGCUGAAAUCAACACAAAAGUGGCGCAACAGAUUCAGGCCUUCAGCCUUCUGUCUGGCCAUUAUAGGCUUGUGUCAGCCACUCCUCUGUCCAUCACAGCCAACCACACCUCCCUGGAUGGAGUCCAGUCUGAGAACAUCACCUUCACAUUCAUCCCCACCGUCCUGACUGGUGGCUGCCGUGUGUCUGCAGAAAGUCCAACUCCGAGGCAGAGCCACUCGUUGGUGAACUCAAUGAAGCCAGGAGCUUUGAGGCAGGACUGAAAGGACAGUUUUACAGUUGUGGAUUAUACAGAUCACUGCUGGUCAUGUGGAGACACGGAAAACUGAUUUGCAUGGCGCUUCGCAUGAAAUGCCUGGCAUCUUUUACACAACCAGACUGGGAUUCCUGAGGGAAAACACUGUAAUCCUGUAAAACUGACACAUAAAACACAUGUUUAUGUAAAACGUCUUUUUUAAAAUUCAUUUGCUUACUGCAAUUUUUGCUUUAAACAACUGAUUGACUAAUUGAUUAUUAAACUACAUGUUGAAUCUCUUGUCUGUUUUGAAUCUAGAACAAUGCUAACUCAAAUCAGAGUUCAUUUUAUUAACAUUUUAAGAACAUCUUAAUUGUAAUAAAAUGCAA